GGAAACUGGACGUGAUGUGGAAUUAGAGCCUACCCAGCUGAAGCCACCCAACACUUACUACAAAUAUAGCCGCGAUGCGUAGGCCACAAAAUGGCUCCACUCACUUUUCCCAAUGAAAAGCAAAUGUCACCCCGAAUGACAGCAAAACACCGAGGGUAUCGUUGCGGGUUUGUGUAUUUCGUUCUUAACGAAUGCGGGAGGAGAAGCCAUCGGGAUUAUUUCGUUUUUUACGAAGGGGAAACCCGUAUUUUUCAUGAUUUCGUUGGCGCGGGGGGGGGGAACCGGCCUCGCCUUCCUGUUGAUCCGCGGCGGGAGCGGGCUCACCCCGCCGGCGGCCCGGCCCCGGCCGUCGCGGCCCCUCGGCCGGGAGCGCUGCCGGUACCCGGCCCCUUUAGGAACCCAAUUUGCCCCUUGAGGAAUUAGAUUUUCCAGCCGGGCGUGGAGAAACGCCGCCAAUGCCGCUCCUUGCGAGCCCAACGGGAGAAAAACAACCCCGUGUCCGGCCCCGUCCGGGAUUUCCUCCCGGGGAGACCGGCCUUGCAAUGUGUCCAAAAACCCGCCCAAUUCGCCCCAAAUAGAGGCUGUAUUUUUUCCUUAUUCUUUUUCCUUUUUAACAUAUUUACUUUCUCCACGCCAGGCCGUGGCCGCCACGCGUUGUGGCCCAGUAGGCGAGGCGGUGGCAGUGUGGGGGGGACCCACUGGUGGCCUCUGUCCCCCCCAUAAUGGGGACCACCCCGGGGUGCCGUCCCCUCCUUCCCUCUCCCCUGCACCCCUCUUUCCCAUUGAUCUCUGGCAAUCCGGGCCCAUGAGAUCCACCCUCUCCUCUUUUUCUCCCCCACUUCUCUUCCUCCCAGGAUUUAGCAGUUUUAUCCCGGUGCGGGUGUCCUUCCUCCCUGUAAAGUCGUAAGUACCUUGAGGUGGGAGGAGUAAAUUCAGCCUGACACUGAGAGCGCUUUUGUUGAAACAGGAGAGACUUGCGGUGUCCCUACUUAAAUAUGACACAUGUGAGUAAUCUCUUCCUAUACAAUAUCGGAAUAGUCAAUUAGAUAUUUCUUUCUCGAGGGCUGGCGGGGAGGG
rnacentral:lncRNA from 1 species